rnacentral:rRNA from 1 species
UACGAAGGGGGCUAGCGUUGCUCGGAAUCACUGGGCGUAAAGCGCACGUAGGCGGAUUGUUAAGUCAGGGGGUGAAAUCCUGGAGCUCAACUCCAGAACUGCCCUUGAUACUGACGGUCUCGAGUCCGGGAGAGGUGAGUGGAACUGCGAGUGUAGAGGUGAAAUUCGUAGAUAUUCGCAAGGAACACCAGUGGCGAAGGCGGCUCACUGGCC